AUAAGCAGGCUUAUGAGGGGGGGGGGGGGGGAGGGGGGGGUUAGUAUGUUACAUAUUGUGUGAGGAUCAAGAUUAGCCAACCCUACUCUAUCCCCUCCCUCAAGACUCGACGGCAGCCACUUGAUUUCCAUUCGAAGCCCUCCAUUAAUCGCUCCAACACCUCUUUAGGAUACUUGAUCUCGAGGUCGUUAGAUGUCUUGGAUUUGGAACUUGCUGUCUGGAGUAGCUGGAGUAGUCAUGGGUCGACUGGAAGGGCUCAUGUGAUUAAAUUCCCUAUUCUAUACUUGGGUUUUGAAAAAGUUUAACUUCAUUUUAUUAUUUGCUUCCGCUGAACAUAUCGGUUUUCAUGUAAACUUGUUGAUGGAAUUUUAUUAAUGAUUGAGAACUUAUUUAGAAA